rnacentral:rRNA from 1 species
UACGUAGGGGGCAAGCGUUGUCCGGAAUUAUUGGGCGUAAAGAGCUCGUAGGCGGUCUGUCGCGUCGGCUGUGAAAUCCCGAGGCUCAACCUCGGGUCUGCAGUCGAUACGGGCAGACUAGAGUGCGGUAGGGGAGACUGGAAUUCCUGGUGUAGCGGUGAAAUGCGCAGAUAUCAGGAGGAACACCGGUGGCGAAGGCGGGUCUCUGGGCCGUAACUGACGCUGAGGAGCGAAAGCGUGGGGAGCGAACAGG